GGCGUCUUCACGGGAGAUUGGAUCUGAGCUCUCGUCCGUGGUUCCUCUGUGCUGCCGACGUCAUGACGGCGUCAACACGGCGAACCACACCCGAGUUAGCUGCACGGCGUCAGGUCCCGAUCUCCUCCCUUCCUGGAACCUCCGCUCCUCGAUCUCGCCCUCCUCCCUCUCCUCUGCGCCCGCCGACGUGGGCCGCGUCUCCGUGUCCUCGGCCAUACCGGCGGCAGCAGCGAUGCGGUCUGGCGUCGGCGCCGACGGAGUUCCCGUCUCAUCCCCUUGCCCAUUAAUCUCGUGUCUGGACCAAGCACGACACCACCUCGGUGUUGCACGCCGCGACAAUGCCCGCCCGGGCUCAAACCCCCCUCCCCCACGAGCUCUUCCUCGACGUGCCGCUCUUUUCGUCCCUUCUCUCCUCCGCUCGCCGCUUGGUCGUAGAACUGGUCAGGGCAGGGGACAACAUGGCCGCCGCCAAGCAGCAGCCGCCGCUAUACAUUGCCGUCGCCGACGACCGCCAGAGGAGCACCUUCCCCUGCAUGCGCCCCAUCCUGCAGAGCGCGCUCCAGCUCAUGGGCUGCAAGCCACGCCACACCUUCAAGGUCUGUCUUCCCCCAUCUUGCUUGUCCCACAAUCUGUCAGCUCACUUCUUUUCCCUUGGGUUCAGUCUGAAUCUUUAGAUUAGACUCAGUAUCCUACCAUCUCUGCCGCAUCCCUGAACCUCCAUAGCAAGCGAUGUAGAUCAGUUUUUUUUGGUAUUCCAUACUCCUCAUAUCCUACUUCAAUUGGCUGAUGGGAUCAGUCUCAUAGUGUUUUUCGUUACAAUUAGCGAGCGCUGUACAUCUACCUCGUAUCCUGCUUCAAUUGGCUGAACCUACAGAGUGUAUUUAAUUAGUAUGAUGUUCACAGCAGGGGUGGAGCUACUAGGAGCCUCUGAUGCAUAGGCAUCAGGGUCGAUGUUGAUUUCUUCAAGCGAUUGUGUAGAGUUGUUUGGCCGUGCACCAGGUUAGGCUGACAGCGCUGCAUCAGGUACAGAGACAAUCCCAUGGCGGCCUUGUUCGGAACUGGUUCAUGGGUAGGCCAGGUCUUGUUCAGACGUGGCCAGGCCUUGGCGUAGCCUUGUGGGCUGUAGCCUUUUGGGUACGUUUGGUGUGGCUGGGCAUCAAGGCGUCAAUGCCCUUAGGUGUUGUAGGGUCACGCCGACACGCGAUCACUCGACGAACCACAUCGGAUGGGCGACGCUGCGCUAGGCUCGGUCUUUACACCUAGCAUCAUCCAUGCUAAUCCGAUCAGUCACUGACCUCAGCUCUAGCUCAAAGGUAGAGUAUGACAUAUAGAUGUAGUAAAUCUUAAAUCUCGGGUUAACCAUUGCAAAAAUUGUGCUUUUAGGCGGUAUCUUCUUAGAUUUUUUUUUAGUUCUACUAGCAUAAAUGCCCGUGCGUUGCAACGGGAGAAACAAACUCUCGCACACCCUAGCGAGCAAUCCAUGUUGUCACUUCUCCUCUUUGGCAUCAUUGUCGAUGGUGGUCACUUGUGUAACUAUUUACGAAAAAGGUUAUCAAUCCCUAUGCGGUGAGCUAGGUCAUUACACUCUACCAUGCCGAUUUCAUGAGUCCCUCCCUAUACUAACUUGCAAUUCUUUGUGCGUAGCAACCGUCACAUUCACUUCAUGUGGUUCAACACCAAUCAUGUCUUUACAUGUCAUGCGGUGCAUUUCCUUGUUUACCACACACAAUAAUAAUUUUAUUGACCACAGACAAUAAUAAUUAUUAGUGUAAAUAAUGUUAAGGUAUGAGGUUAUCAACUUGCCGACCGAACAUAAGCUGCAUACACCUUUUCUUUCUGCUCAUAUUUGUGAGCAAACUGGACCAACUUCUUGAGGCGGCUUAUUAAUUUCAGUUCAUAGACAUAUAUAAAUUGGUCCGUCGAGUUAUAAGAAAGCGAGUUGGGAUAAUUCAAUAACCGAACUAAUUAAUUUCUUUGUGUUAGUUAAUUGCAUGCCAUGUCUGGGUAAUUCCUUUGCGCAAUAUUUUUUAGAAAAAUCUCCUUCCUUAUCUGAUCACGCCCCGGUAGUAUUUCGUCUUAGGAUAUUCUCUUUCCUCAUCUGAUCACGCCACCAUGGUAUUCCUUCCUUUUUCCGAAACUCUCCUUUUCUUCUUUGUACCCACUGGUAUUAUAAUUCCUUAGGGUCAUUAUUAUUCUCUCCUUCCUUAUUUAAGCCCGCUGAUCACGUCACACAUUUAAGAACAAAAAAAAAAGAUCACGUCACACAUCCCAUCCCAUUAAAUCUAAGCCACAUAUGUCAGCCCACCUUUGUUUCGUACUUCUCAAGGCUGCUUACUGAUCUUGAAUCACAAACAAAUAUAAAUUGGGAGUAGAACAUGUAAAGCAGCGAGGUGGUACUAUUUAAUAAGGGAACAAUCCUGGUAUUUCACACAAUGAUGUCCUAGCAUGAUUGGUUGCGUCCUUUGGUCUUGACAUGCAACGUCUGGAGUUCGAUUGCUCGUGAAGACGCUUUUUUUUUGUCUGGGCUGGCUCCAUGUAAUAUUUCUGCCUAGGCCGAUUUUGUUGUUGUUAUGUGCUAGUAGAGUAGGCCCAAUAGCUAAAGCUCCGGCCAAGGCCCAGCGAGGCGAUCCAGAUGCAAAGUUGGAUCGAGACUUCUGUAAUUACCGUGACGGAACGUACGUGAACGUGAAAAUCAACAAAGCGAGCGUACGUGGAAAAAACUUUUAAGCGGGACGAAACCAAGAAUAUCACCUUCCUUUAAUAGUAGGUAUAGAUGUACAAGGGUAUUCUGAAGUUGAGAAUUCAGUUCAUUUACUUGACUUUAUCAAAUGUGGGUAGCCACAAGACUGGAGACGCGAGACUUUGUGUAUAGUCUAAUAAUGUUGCAAUAAGUCGCUCCAUCGUCGUAUUUUCCCUCCUUUUUGCAAUAAUUGUUCAUUCACAUUUUUUCAGAAAUUAUUGCCAAUGUACUAAGUCUUAUUCAGAGAUUGUCAAUAUUGUUGGGCGUGUCCUGCUCUCCCUCUUUUAUAUUUGGUUGUUUGGUCUCACACUGAAGGUGCUAGAUGUAAUGUGGACUCAGGGCCAGAACAGAGAAGAACCAGAGCAGCUAGACUCGGGAACGCAGCCAAAAGAACGCCGAUAACCAUAAGAAACAGAAGACAAAACAUAAAAUUGGAUCAAAAUCUUACUCGCAAGUAAGCUUUGAGAAGAGAAACUUGGAACUCACCCACACGAACGACGGAACAUGGUCUAACACAGAGUCCUAGAAAGUUUGCAACAAAGCACGUCAAGAGGUUCAAAACAAAGAAACUGAAACUGAAGGUCCACUUUCAAGUGAGCAGAAAAACAAUAUUUUCCAGACCGCAUACAAAGAGACUCUGAAAUGCAAGUCAUCGCAGCCUUGUGGGUACGGAUACAUGGCCAAACCUUCAACUGGUUCUCAAAGGUUUCAUAUCCAGGUUGAAGAGCAAGCUCGUGCUACAGCAGCCACCCAACAGCAAAACUCUGAGCUCAGCCAGCAGGUCAACGAAUUACAAGAUCAACUACAAGCUGAACGUGCAAACACACAAGAGAGGAUUAACUUGGAGUGUACUGAGAGAGAACAACUUGAGGAGAGGUUAAAAGAAGGGCAUGCUGAAAGGGAAAGAUUGUUGGAAUAGGAGCGGACAUCAAGACCGGAAUUUGAAAAAAACAUGAUGCCAAAGUUUGUAGCAUUGAGCCAACAGAUGGGAACCCAACAGGUGCCUAAGGAUUGACAAAGAAAAUAGUAACCCAAACUUGCAAAAUACACUUUUAUAGAGAUCUAGUCCUAAUAAGACUCCAGUUCAAGGCCAAUUAUUAUUUCUUCAAAUGCGCUCAUACAAGCUGCAACAAGGAAUUCUCGAAUGUUUAAAGCAAUGGAUCCAAAGAACUAGCUGGCCUGGACUCUAGAUCACGGACGGUUUAGUCUUUGCAAUUAAUUAGGAUGGCUAAAUUAUAUCUGAGUUUCAUUUGAUGGAUAUUUGCUACGAGAAUUAUGAACUUUAUGAAUCUACAUAUUAUACGUAUGGUUUUGAAAUUGUAAUUGAAUGCAUGUAUUUUUUUACGGUUGCAAUAUGCUACAACCCACUUUGGGUUGCCACAAGCACCACCAAAAAAAGUGUUGCGUCAUAUCUCAGUCGAUAUGCCUACUAUUUUGUUGCACUAGGAUGUUGUAACGGAUCACUUCAUAAUGUCUGGCACCACAAAUUU